rnacentral:rRNA from 1 species
AGAGUUUGAUCAUGGCUCAGAUUGAACGCUGGCGGCAGGCCUAACACAUGCAAGUCGAGCGGUAGCACAGGAGAGCUUGCUCUCUGGGUGACGAGCGGCGGACGGGUGAGUAAUGUCUGGGAAACUGCCUGAUGGAGGGGGAUAACUACUGGAAACGGUAGCUAAUACCGCAUAACGUCUUCGGACCAAAGUGGGGGACCUUCGGGCCUCACGCCAUCAGAUGUGCCCAGAUGGGAUUAGCUAGUAGGUGGGGUAAUGGCUCACCUAGGCGACGAUCCCUAGCUGGUCUGAGAGGAUGACCAGCCACACUGGAACUGAGACACGGUCCAGACUCCUACGGGAGGCAGCAGUGGGGAAUAUUGCACAAUGGGCGCAAGCCUGAUGCAGCCAUGCCGCGUGUGUGAAGAAGGCCUUCGGGUUGUAAAGCACUUUCAGCGAGGAGGAAGGGCAGUGUGUUAAUAGCACAUUGCAUUGACGUUACUCGCAGAAGAAGCACCGGCUAACUCCGUGCCAGCAGCCGCGGUAAUACGGAGGGUGCAAGCGUUAAUCGGAAUUACUGGGCGUAAAGCGCACGCAGGCGGUUUGUUAAGUCAGAUGUGAAAUCCCCGCGCUUAACGUGGGAACUGCAUUUGAAACUGGCAAGCUAGAGUCUUGUAGAGGGGGGUAGAAUUCCAGGUGUAGCGGUGAAAUGCGUAGAGAUCUGGAGGAAUACCGGUGGCGAAGGCGGCCCCCUGGACAAAGACUGACGCUCAGGUGCGAAAGCGUGGGGAGCAAACAGGAUUAGAUACCCCGGUAGU